rnacentral:rRNA from 1 species
AAUCUUCCACAAUGGGCGCAAGCCUGAUGGAGCAACACCGCGUGAGUGAAGAAGGGUUUCGGGCUCGUAAAGCUCUGUUGUUUAAAGAAGAACACGUAUGAGAGUAACUGUUCAUACGUUGACGGUAUUUAACCAGGAAGUCACGGCUAACUACGUGCCAGCAGCCGCGGUAAUACGUAGGUGGCAAGCGUUAUCCGGAUUUAUUGGGCGUAAAGAGAGUGCAGGCGGUUUUCUAAGUCUGAUGUGAAAGCCUUCGGCUUAACCGGAGAAGUGCAUCGGAAACUGGAUAACUUGAGUGCAGAAGAGGGUAGUGGAACUCCAUGUGUAGCGGUGGAAUGCGUAGAUAUAUGGAAGAACACCAGUGGCGAAGGCGGCUACCUGGUCUGCAACUGACGCUGAGACUCGAAAGCAUGGGUAGCGAACAGGAUUAGAUACCCUGGUAG